UACGAAGGGGGCUAGCGUUGCUCGGAAUCACUGGGCGUAAAGCGCACGUAGGCGGAUUGUUAAGUCAGGGGUGAAAGCCUGGAGCUCAACUCCAGAACUGCCCUUGAUACUGGCAAUCUCGAGUCCGGAAGAGGUAAGUGGAACUCCGAGUGUAGAGUUGAAAUUCGUAGAUAUUCGGAAGAACACCAGUGGCGAAGGCGGCUUACUGGUCCGGUACUGACGCUGAGGUGCGAAAGCGUGGGGAGCAAACAGG
rnacentral:rRNA from 1 species